rnacentral:rRNA from 1 species
GAUCCUGGCUCAGGACGAACGCUGGCGGCGUGCUUAACACAUGCAAGUCGAACGAGAAUCUACGGAUCGAGGAUUCGUCCAAGAGAAGUAGAGGACAGUGGCGGACGGGUGAGUAACGCGUGAGGAACCUGCCUUUCAGAGGGGGACAACAGUUGGAAACGACUGCUAAUACCGCAUGACACAUUGGGGUCGCAUGGCCUUGAUGUCAAAGAUUUAUCGCUGAAAGAUGG